rnacentral:rRNA from 1 species
AUACGGAGGGUGCAAGCGUUGUUCGGAAUCACUGGGCGUAAAGCGCGCGCAGGCGGUCUUUUAAGUUGGAUGUGAAAGCCUACGGCUCAACCGUAGAACUGCAUCCAAAACUAUUAGACUAGAGUGUGGGAGAGGAAGAUGGAAUUAGUUGUGUAGGGGUAAAAUCCGUAGAGAUAACUAGGAAUACCAAAAGCGAAGGCAAUCUUCUGGAACACUACUGACGCUGAGGCGCGAAAGCGUGGGGAGCAAACAGGAUUAGAUACCCUAGUAGUCC